CGAGUCGGUCGGGCGGUCGCGGCGAAGGGAACGGGCAUGGCAAUGCCGCCGCCCCUCGUCGAGGAAAGUCCGGACUCCACAGAGCAGGGCGGUUGCUAACGGCAACCCGGGGCGACCCGCGGGACAGUGCCACAGAAAACAAACCGCCGGUGGCGGCCUCCUCGGAGGACGACGCCGGUAAGGGUGAAACGGUGCGGUAAGAGCGCACCAGCGCGCCGGGUGACCGGCGCGGCUAGGUAAACCCCGCCCGGAGCAAGGUCGAAGGCCGGACUCGCGAGAGUGCGGCUGCGCAGGCGUUCGAGGGCUGCUCGCCCGAGCCUGCGGGUGGACUGCUCGAGGUACCCGGCAACGGUGUGCCCAGAUGGAUGACCGUCACUCGGUGGCAACACCGAGGACAGGAUCCGGCUUACAGACCGACUCGUCCG
rnacentral:RNase_P_RNA from 1 species